UGGAUAAAGGUGAAUUGAGAUGAGCU
rnacentral:piRNA from 1 species